rnacentral:rRNA from 1 species
UUAGGCAUGCAAGUCGUGCGGCAGCAGGCCCCGCAAGGGGUGCUGGCGAGCGGCGAAAGGGAUAGUAAUGUGUGGAUACCUGCCCUGGGGACGGGGAUAGCUGCUGGAAACGGCAAUUAAUACCCGAUGAUGUCUCCGGACCAAAGGUGUAAUUCCGCCCUAGGAGGGGUCCACAUCCUAUNAGCUAGUUGGUGAGGUAACGGCUCACCAAGGCCACGAUGGGUAGCGGGUGUGAGAGCACGACCCGCAUCACUGGGACUGAGACACUGCCCAGACACCUACGGGUGGCUGCAGUCGAGGAUCUUCGGCAAUGAGCGAAAGCUUGACCGAGCGACGCCGCGUGCGGGAUGAAGGCCUUCGGGUUGUAAACCGCUUUCGGAGGGGAGGAAAUCUAGGGGGGAUCACCCUUCUAGUUGACCUAUCCUAGGAAGAAGGACGGGCUAAGUUCGUGCCAGCAGCCGCGGUAAUACGAACCGUCCAAACGUUAUUCGGAAUCACUGGGCUUAAAGGGUGCGUAGGCGGCCCGGUAAGUUGGGUGUGAAAUCCCUCGGCUCAACCGAGGAAUUGCGCCCAAAACUGUCGGGCUUGAGGAAGAUAGAGGUGAGCGGAACUUAGGGUGGAGCGGUGAAAUGCGUUGAUAUCCUAAGGAACACCGGUGGCGAAAGCGGCUCACUGGGUCUUUUCUGACGCUGAGGCACGAAAGCUAGGGUAGCGAAGAGGAUUAGAUACCCUCGUAGUCCUAGCCCUAAACGAUGAGCACUAGAUCGAAGGACACUCCAUAGUCUUUUGGUCGAAGCGAAAGUGUUAAGUGCUCCGCCUGGGGAAUAUGGUCCAAAGCCUGAACUCAAAG